GUUUUGAAAACCUUAUUUAAUAUGGUGCUCUUACCAAUGUGCAUCAUUUGUACAGGUAAUUUUAUUCAUCUUGCAGAAAAUAAUGCUGGUACAAUGUAUUAUUAUAAACGUUUGCCUUUAUAUCACUGUAUGAUACUGUGACGUUUUAUACACAACUAUAAUACUCAUACAUGUUAUUACUAUGGGCUUCAAAGAAGAGUUAGCUUGUGUUCACAUUGAGGUAUAAUUCUUUGGAUAAUGUAUUAUUUUCAAUCAAUUCUUCUCAGUUUUAUAGUUACGUGAUAUUACUUUUGUUUUUAUUCAGUACAAAUGAUGUAAAAGUAGAUAGCUGUAUAGGGAUACAUUUUGUAAAAUUUUGGGGUUUUUUUUCCAGCAGGGUAGCUAUCUCACUAAACAGUGUCAACACUUUUUUUAGUCCUGUGUCCAUGACAUUAUGUUCAACUAAGUUUCAAAUUUUGAUGUCUUCUAUUAGGUUUGACUUUAAAUUUACUUGAAUCACGGAUUUCUAUCAAGCCUUAUUUCUAAGAAAGAAUUAUACUUGUUGAAAAAAAUUUUGGUUGUACACAUGAAUUUGGUUGUAAAGUAAUUAUUUUGCAAUAAGUAUAUUUCAUGCUUAUUUAUUGGUGUAUUAUGUAUGAGAUUUAUGAAAUAGAACUGUAUGCCAAUCCAUAUAGGCAUAAAAAACCACCAAGUCGACACAGACUAGAGAUUAUUACUAACCUUUGGUCUUGAGAUUUGAACCAUUUUUUAUCUUAAAUUUUGUUUAUUAUUUCAGUAGUAUUUUUUCUUUGAAUCCAAAUCCUUGGUCUUUUAUGUCUGGAUUGGCUUACACUGUUCCUACUGUAACCAUAUGUUUACAUGUGUAGUAAGUACUGGUAAGUUAUGAACCUUGACCCUGUUUGUUUAUAGGCUCUUUGAUUGUUGAGAAAUAAGCUCUGUGCAAUAAUAUAUGUAGAAACUUUGUAUUGUAGCCUUUUAUCCUUUAGCCUACCUGGCUGGCCACUGAUAUGUUCAUUUCCUGUCACGGCCAGUGUAUACCUGUAUCUACUGGGCAUUACCAUGGUACUUGUAGUGUAGACUCAGUCAAGUGUGGGGUAGCUGUUUUUGUGGUGGGUUUUUUCUUUGUUUUUACAUUUUACUGUAUAACCUGCCAUUUUAUAAUUUUAUAGUUUUGUUUACUGCUUUUGUUUAGAUUUUAUUUAAAAAUAAAAAUAGUUUUAUUGAUACACCAAACUUUUCUUUUUGAGAGGGUUUGCUUGUAUUUUAAGUUUUGCUUGUAAUUCAAAUAUACUUUUAUACAUAUUCCCAGUUUGUUCCUCUAAUAUAUCUCACUGUUGAACAAAAGAUAAAAUCAACAACAUUAAAGUUUAAACAAA
rnacentral:misc_RNA from 1 species